rnacentral:misc_RNA from 1 species
UAGGAAAGUCAUAAAUAUAUAAAUUAUAUUAUAUAAUUAAUAUAAUAAUAAAAUAAAUUAUAUAUUUUAUUUAUAAUAUUAUUUCUUUAUAAGAUAAAAUAUUAUCUGAUGAAUAAUUAGAUUAAAUAAUAUUUAUAAAGAAAUAUAUAUAUAUAUAAAAAGUCAUUAUAUAAAUUUAAUUAUAAUUUAAAUAAAUUUUAUAUAAAUUAAUAUAAUAUUAAUAAAGUAAUUAGUAUAAAUAAAUAAUAUGAAAAUAAAACUUAAUAAAUAUAUAAAUAUAGUCCGGCCCGCCCGCGGGGGCGGACCCCGAAUGAGUCCAUAUAUAUAUAUUAAUAAAAAAAAGUAAUAUAUAUAUAUAUAUUGGAAUAGUUAUAUUAUUAUACAGAAAUAUGCUUAA